UUUCCUCCUCCUCCUCCUCCUCCUCUAUGAAGUGAAGUCUAUUUGCGCCGCGCAGCUGACAAAAAUGACGCGACCACGAUUGGAUGAAAACAGGUUGGAGUAAAAGGAAAAAGGCAGAGUAAAUUAUCUGAGAGGACAGCGCAGGCUCACGGCUCAACGUGGCUGAGGCUGAUAAACGGACAGCGUCGGUGAAUGUUUUUCUACUUUGUGUUGACGCCUACAAGGACACAGGAGCGCAGACGAGACCGAAAACGAGAGGAAGGAGGUUGUGGAUUCAAAUGAGUUUUUUUUUUCUUUCUUUUUUUUUUUUUGUAUCUUAAUCCGGGAAAACAUUGGGAUAUCAUGGCUUGACCACAGCAGGCUCUUCACCAUUCUCCGACGAUAAACUGCAGUGAGAAAUAAAGGCCCUCUCUCUCUCUCUCUCUCUCUCUCUCUCUCUCUCUCUCUCUCUCCUCGUUUCCUUCCGCAGAUGGAGCUCAGAGCUCUUUAAUCCAGCCUCACAGCUCCCUGACAGGCAGUGGAGAACAACUCAGAAGGGACGCUUUAUUCGCACUUGGAGGAAUUUAUGGGAUCACAAGUUUCCUCUGAUGAGAUGAGUGUGCGUGCUGGCCAGGGCAGUGAUGAGGUGCUAGUUUCUCAGGCAGUUUGGGAUUACCUGGCUGCAGCUGGGCGGCCCUGGCUCAUUGACUUCCAGCACAAGCAGGGGAUGAGCGCCGGCAUCGUCAGGCGAGGAGAGAGAGGGGGCUGCUGCGCUGUGCGGCUGCAGCCGGUGGAAGGCUCGAGGAGCACCAGAUCUGGGAUGAUGGAUGGACAUAUCUCUAGCGAGACGCGAAAAGCCUUCAUUGACUUAUGCCGAUGUGCCCGCAAAGAAAUGAGCAAACAGGAGGGAGGACCCAAGAGGAAGAGGGCUCUGCUGCCUUGCGUGGCGGUCCUGGAGCAGAACGGAGAAGGGAACCUCCAGGCUCCACCUUCCCUGCCGCGGCGCUCCCAGAGACAGCAGCAGAGGUUCAGGAAACCUGCCGACGAGGAGGUGUGUGCCAUGCUCCACGAGGCCUCUCUGAGGAAAGACAUGGACUCUGGCAUUGGUUCCCACAGUGAGGCCGAGGACAAUGGCAUUUGCUCAAUUUGCAUGGGGGACAUAGUGGAGAGGACCACCCUGGAGAAAUGCGGCCAUUCGUUCUGCCGCUCCUGCCUGGAACGAGCCUUUAAGGUUAAGCAAGCUUGUCCCGUGUGCAGACUGGUUUAUGGCCAGCUGGUUGGGAACCAGCCUGCCAAUGGUUCGAUGAUGGUGGAGCGGGACCCUGAUAUGGAGCUUCCUGGCCACGAGGGCUACGGAUGUAUCUGCAUCAUCUACAGCUUCCCUCCUGGAGUGCAGACAGUAAGUAGCGUCAGCUCGAUCACCCAAACCCUGGCGUUCGAUACCCAGGAACAGACCGCGUGGCCUACCUCCCUGACAGCCCAGAAGGGAACCGCGUGCUGGGCCUGCUGCGUCGGGCCUUCGAACAGCGCCUUAUCUUCACCAUUGGUACCUCCAUGACUACGGGCCUGCAAAAUGUCAUCACCUGGAAUGACAUUCACCACAAGACAUCCAUAUUCGGCGGGCCACCCUGCUUUGGCUAUCCAGACCCCACAUACUUGGUGCGCGUGACAGAGGAGCUCAGAGAAAAAGGCAUCACCAUUAACUGACCACAUGAGACCUCCAGGACUUUGUUGGACUUUUCCUUGGACAUGUCCUCACUGUGGACCAAGCUGCAGGAUUUGCUCUCAGACUGCCUGAUGCCUAAAAGAUCGCUGAAGAUAAAAAAAAAACAACAAAACAAAAAAAACAAAAAAAAAGAAAAUCACCUCAUCAGACACACGUCUAUUGCUGCAGAAAAAUCCAUAUCUCCUCCACUGCUGUUCCACUUUGGUUAUUUUUCUCAAGUCAUUCAGUGCUACACGUGGAAGAGAAUACUCUUAAAUGCAGUGCUAAUCCUCAAACCCUCACUGCUGGCACCAGGCCUAACUUCUAAUGCACUUAUUUAGGAGCUUGUCAGAAUUAAUGUUACAAGAUAUUAUUUAGAUAAUUUAAGUUUAGUGACAUUUAAGUUAGAUUCUAUUAAUGUUCAUUUCCCUCCUUUGGGAGUACUUUUAAGUCUUAAAAGCACAUGUUUGGUUGUGUCUCCCUGAAGUGUUUGUUGAACAAGUUUGAUUGUUAUUAAUUACCUGUUGUGAUGAUUGUACUCGGUUCGUACGGCAGAAGAGCACUGCUUUUAGCAACAGAUUUACAGUUCUGAUGUUAUUGCAAUCUUAAGCACUCACAGGCACUUUGGUAACUAUUAUUUUUGUUUUAGUGAAGUAGAAGUAGUGGAAAUCUGCUUCCUCUGAAUGAAGGAUGCUCAAAGCAAACAGGUUUAUGCCGCCAUCAGCUAUUAGCUGGCAACGCUGCUUAGAAAACAUUACGCGUGACCUUUUAUCUCGGGAUGUACUUAGAUUUUUUUUUUAAAUAGGAGGAAUGUUAAACGAUGUCUCACGGCAGCACCUUUCAGCAAGUGUUGGACGUUCCCACUGUGUUUUCUUCCCCCAGUUGUCACUCCUGUUCUUUCCAAGAUGUCUCUGAGGGGUUCGGCCCAUUACCUCACUUCGAUAGGAACACGCUGGUCCGAAUUAGCAGAUUUAUGACGAUGUCAACUUUGAAGGGCAUAUAGAUCACUUGAACCAAAUCAGAGGCACAAAAGCUCUUUAAAUAUCUAUGCUUCAGUUCCUUUCAAACUAGGAAAUUUGCCUAUUAAAAUCGUUUUAUUCGAAAUGAGCUAACUGCUGUAAAUCUAUCAAUGUGUAACCAACAACAGGAGAGUUUAGUGAUUGAUUUGAUUAGAGGCGAGUCACUGAUCUCAUUUUCUUGUGCCUUCCUUAUAUUCAUUUUUGAUUAAAUAAUCAGCCAUGACGACUUUGGCGAAUGUUGAGGAUUUUGAGUGCUUUUGCAGUGCUGUUUGAUUGUACAGAAGCCUCCGGUGUCUAUUACGCAAAUACUCCGCAGUAUUAAAUGUAAAACCUAAUCUGGUCCAAAAAAAUAUCACCCCCCCUUCUGUCCAAAACUUUUGCCUACAUUAAUUUUAGAAAUAGAUCCCAGUCUUUAAGCGUGUAUGUGCUUUGCAAAUCCAGCAGCCAUUUUGUUUUUGGCUGAAAAUAAUCACUGAUUUAAAUGAUCACAACGACACAUCAAAUGCUUUUGUUAUGUUCUUGCCCCUUUCAUAUUUUAGUUAAGGGACCAAUCGAUACAUUUUUGGGACACAGGAUUGUAGUUAAUCAAAGCUACUGUGCACACCUUUCUAUGCAUACUGAACCUGAAGAAGGGGAAAAAGAAGAAGUAGAUGGCUGGAUUCCAUAUUUUGCAAAUCGAAUGUUAAGUAAAACAAAAAUCUGUUCUGCUUUUAUAAUUGUGUUGAUUUGUACUUCGUUGGUAUUCAGAAUGAUGUGGCCACAUUUUAAUACUUGAAUAAAAGUUCUGUUUGGGUUUGUC